rnacentral:lncRNA from 1 species
UAAAUUCCCAAGAAUUCAAACUUAGAUUUUUAGAGUCCAGCUUACUAUUUAUAAAUGAGGAAAGUAAGACAAAAAGUAAUUCAGUUUUUUUUUUUUUUUUUUUUUCCUAAGGACAUGGAACUUGAGCAGCAGAAACAGGACCGAAACCUGGCUCUUCCCUUAUGCCACAGUCUUUCUAUGAAGAAAAUUUAAAAUACAGAGGAAAAGACUUUUACAUACAGUAAGGACAGCAUAUUCAGCAGUAGGUGUGACUUUCCCAGUGGGAAAAAUAUUUGCAACUUUCAACACAUUAUAUUUCACAUUAUUGGUGGUACUUUGUAAGCAACUGAUCUAAUCUGAUAACAGAGUAAGUGGUUGGAACUGAAUGUAAAUCUGGAUGCAUUUAUAUGGAGGAAGUAAUUAGAACUAUAUGAGCAAGGAGUUCAUUAGUGCAAAUAUAAAAUUUUAAAAAGUGAGUUAAUUAGUGUUAAAUUAUAUAAUAAUUCCUGGCUUAGAUAAAUUCCAUUGUAGUUUAUACCACUUUAAUGUUUACUGUUAUACUAUUAAUAGGGUGAUAAAGUACAUUAUUCUCAUUUAGAGCAAACUUCAUAGUGAAAAGUAAAUAGACUUUUAAGUCAAACACACCUAGAUUUAAGUUAGUUCUAUUUUUUGCUAGAUGUGUGAACGCAUAUAAGUUAACUUCAUUCUUCUCAGUCUCCAUUUCUUAUGUAAUACUAAUACCUGUAUUGAAGUUGCUCUUGCACCAUUUAGAUUAAAGUCAAUUAAAUGAUACAACACGUGUACAAUGCCCAGGAUAGUACCUCAUACUUAGUGACAUUAAAUAAAUAGUAGGUACCAUAUUAAAAGAUAACUAAUGAUUUAAAUAUGGGUGGGACACCUCUGUGUAUAUUUGCCAAGACUUUUUGUUUCUCUAAUCCCUUACUUUUGAGUAAUUUUCAGACUACUGAGUGCUAAGAUUCAGACUUGAUAUUUUUAUAGCAUAUUAACUAGGUAUAUUUUCUCUUGGAGGAAUUUACU